GGAAAGGCGCGCGAUACAGGGUGACAGCCCCGUACACAAAAAUGCACAUGCUGUGAGCUCGAUGAGUAGGGCGGGACACGUGGUAUCCUGUCUGAAUAUGGGGGGACCAUCCUCCAAGGCUAAAUACUCCUGACUGACCGAUAGUGAACCAGUACCGUGAGGGAAAGGCGAAAAGAACCCCGGCGAGGGGAGUGAAAAAGAACCUGAAACCGUGUACGUACAAGCAGUGGGAGCACGCUUAGGCGUGUGACUGCGUACCUUUUGUAUAAUGGGUCAGCGACUUAUAUUCUGUAGCAAGGUUAACCGAAUAGGGGAGCCGAAGGGAAACCGAGUCUUAACUGGGCGUUAAGUUGCAGGGUAUAGACCCGAAACCCGGUGAUCUAGCCAUGGGCAGGUUGAAGGUUGGGUAACACUAACUGGAGGACCGAACCGACUAAUGUUGAAAAAUUAGCGGAUGACUUGUGGCUGGGGGUGAAAGGCCAAUCAAACCGGGAGAUAGCUGGUUCUCCCCGAAAGCUAUUUAGGUAGCGCCUCGUGAAUUCAUCUCCGGGGGUAGAGCACUGUUUCGGCAAGGGGGUCAUCCCGACUUACCAACCCGAUGCAAACUGCGAAUACCGGAGAAUGUUAUCACGGGAGACACACGGCGGGUGCUAACGUCCGUCGUGAAGAGGGAAACAACCCAGACCGCCAGCUAAGGUCCCAAAGUCAUGGUUAAGUGGGAAACGAUGUGGGAAGGCCCAGACAGCCAGGAUGUUGGCUUAGAAGCAGCCAUCAUUUAAAGAAAGCGUAAUAGCUCACUGGUCGAGUCGGCCUGCGCGGAAGAUGUAACGGGGCUAAACCAUGCACCGAAGCUGCGGCAGCGACGCUGAUGCGUUGUUGGGUAGGGGAGCGUUCUGUAAGCCUGCGAAGGUGUGCUGUGAGGCAUGCUGGAGGUAUCAGAAGUGCGAAUGCUGACAUAAGUAACGAUAAAGCGGGUGAAAAGCCCGCUCGCCGGAAGACCAAGGGUUCCUGUCCAACGUUAAUCGGGGCAGGGUGAGUCGACCCCUAAGGCGAGGCCGAAAGGCGUAGUCGAUGGGAAACAGGUUAAUAUUCCUGUACUUGGUGUUACUGCGAAGGGGGGACGGAGAAGGCUAUGUUGGCCGGGCGACGGUUGUCCCGG
rnacentral:rRNA from 1 species